GAUGAACGCUGGCGGCGUGCCUAAUACAUGCAAGUCGAGCGAACGGACGAGAAGCUUGCUUCUCUGAUGUUAGCGGCGGACGGGUGAGUAACACGUGGAUAACCUACCUAUAAGACUGGGAUAACUUCGGGAAACCGGAGCUAAUACCGGAUAAUAUUUUGAACCGCAUGGUUCAAAAGUGAACGACGGUCUUGCUGUCACUUAUAGAUGGAUCCGCGCUGCAUUAGCUAGUUGGUAAGGUAACGGCUUACCAAGGCAACGAUGCAUAGCCGACCUGAGAGGGUGAUCGGCCACACUGGAACUGAGACACGGUCCAGACUCCUACGGGAGGCAGCAGUAGGGAAUCUUCCGCAAUGGGCGAAAGCCUGACGGAGCAACACCGCGUGAGUGAUGAAGGUCUUCGGAUCGUAAAACUCUGUUAUUAGGGAAGAACAUAUGUGUAAGUAACUGUGCACAUCUUGACGGUACCUAAUCAGAAAGCCACGGCUAACUACGUG
rnacentral:rRNA from 1 species